rfam:TPA: Bos taurus chromosome 5, whole genome shotgun sequence.
UCCCUGGUGGUCCAGUGGUUAAGACUCCGAGCUUCCAAUUCAGGGGGUGCAGGUUCAAUCCCUGGUCAAGGAA